rnacentral:rRNA from 1 species
UGGGGAAUAUUGCACAAUGGGCGGAAGCCUGAUGCGGCAACGCCGCGUGGGUGAUGAAGGUUUUCGGAUUGUAAAGCCCUGUCUUUUGGGACGAUAAUGACGGUACCAAAGGAGGAAGCCACGGCUAACUACGUGCCAGCAGCCGCGGUAAUACGUAGGUGGCGAGCGUUGUCCGGAUUUACUGGGCGUAAAGGGUGCGUAGGCGGAUAUUUAAGUGGGAUGUGAAAACCCCGGGCUUAACCUGGGGACUGCAUUUCAAACUGGAUAUCUGGAGUGCAGGAGAGGAAAGCGGAAUUCCUAGUGUAGCGGUGAAAUGCGUAGAGAUUAGGAAGAACACCAGUGGCGAAGGCGGCUUUCUGGACUGUAACUGACGCUGAGGCACGAAAGCGUGGGUAGCAAACAGGAUUAGAUACCCUGGUAGUCCACGCCGUAAACGAUGAGUACUAGGUGUAGGAGGUAUCGACCCCUUCUGUGCCGCAGUAAACGCAAUAAGUACUCCGCCUGGGAAGUACGAUCGCAAGAUUAAAAC